rnacentral:rRNA from 1 species
UACGAAGGGUGCAAACGUUGCUCGGAAUUAUUGGGCGUAAAGCGCACGUAGGCGGCUUUGUAAGUUAGAGGUGAAAGCCCAGGGCUUAACCCUGGAAUUGCCUUUAAGACUGCAUCGCUAGAAUCGUGGAGAGGUGAGUGGAAUUCCGAGUGUAGAGGUGAAAUUCGUAGAUAUUCGGAAGAACACCAGUGGCGAAGGCGGCGACCUGGUCCGAUACUGACGCUGAGGCGCGAAAGCGUGGGGAGCAAACAGG